GACUCUGCUCAGUGGCCUGAGCCUUGGCUUUAUAGCCCAAGGUGUGGGUUCAAAUCCCACCAGAGUCA